UACAGAGGGUGCGAGCGUUGUCCGGAAUCACUGGGCGUAAAGCGCACGUAGGCGGACUUGUCAGUCAGGGGUGAAAUCCCGGGGCUCAACCUCGGAACUGCCUCUGAUACAGCAAGUCUUGAGUCCGGAAGAGGUGGGUGGAAUUCCUAGUGUAGAGGUGAAAUUCGUAGAUAUUAGGAAGAACACCGGUGGCGAAGGCGGCCCACUGGUCCGGUACUGACGCUGAGGUGCGAAAGCGUGGGGAGCAAACAGG
rnacentral:rRNA from 1 species